AGUGAACGCUGGCGGUGGGCCUAACACAUGCAAGUCGAACGGCAGCACAGUAAGUGCUUGCUCUUACCGGUGGGGAGUGGCGGACGGGUCAGGAGUAUAUCGGAAUCUACUUUUUCGUGGGGGAUCACGUAGGGAAACUUACGCUAAUACAGCAUACGACGUACGGGUGAAAGCAGUGGAUCUUUGGACCUUGCGCGAUUGAAUGAGCCGAGGUCGGACUGGUUAGUUGGCGGGGUAAGUGCCCAGCCAGUGGCGGAUACGUAGCUGGUCUGAGAGGAUGGUCGGCCACACUGGAACGGGACCGGGGACCUGGCGCCUACGGGAGGCAGCAGUGGGGAAUAUUGGACAACAGGGGGAAGUCUUAUCCAGUGAGACCGCGUGGGAUACAGAGGCCUUCGGUGUGUAAAGCCCUUUUGUUGGGAAAAAAAAGCAGCAGGUUAAUACGCCGCGGUUCUGACGGUACCCAAAGAAGAAGCACCGGCUAACUACGUG
rnacentral:rRNA from 1 species